UGAGUUUAAGCAUAUCAA
rnacentral:snRNA from 1 species